CUAACCUUUCUCAGCUCCUUUGAGCGCUAAUGGGCCGUGACAGUUCCUGCCCAGGCGCGGGGUCCGCGGUACUGAGGGGAGAGAGGGGGGUGGGGAGAAGCGUCUAUCCCUCUGAUAGCUUUAGGGACCUGCUUUUUGAUACAGCUUCUUGGCCAGCGUCAGCUGCAGGUGUGUGUUAUGCCUCUGUAGCAGGAGCAGCAAGAAGGGGUAUAAUCUUCUCGUUCCCCAAGCUGCCACAAACACAACACAAGUGAUGUUUGCUCGGACGUUUUAACACGGGAUGGGGAAAUACACGGGGAAAUCUGGCACACGCCCAGUUUCCACUUCAUUAUUUUCUGCAAACACGGAGUUGGGGAUUUUCCUAUCUAGCUCACAAUUUAUGCUCCCAGUGGGGAGUUCAGAACACCACACUCCGGACCCGCUGGAAGAGAGCGUUCUGGGGACAGCAGCAGGCGAAGCCCACGCAGCCUGCGCACGGAGGUGAUUCUCCAGGGGACAGGCUUUGACUGGAUGGUUCAGAAUGUGGAAACUGGAAGAGAGAUGCCACUCCUGCUAUAAGUGAAGAUCAGAUUCAUGACCUCCUGAGGAACAUGAACACCCAUAAGUCUAUGAGCCCUGAGGAGAUGCAUCCCGGAGUCCUGAAGGAAUUGGCAGACAUAGUUGCCAAGCCACUCUUGAUGAUCUUUGAAAAGUCAUGGUGGUCAGAUGAAGUCUCUGGUGACGAUGACAAAAGGCAAUAUCACACCCAUAUUUAAGAAGGGUAGAAAGGAUGACCUGGGGAACUAUGAACCUAUUAGCUUCACAUCUGUGCUGAGGAAGAUAAUGGAACAGAUCCUUCUGGUAGCUACGCUAAGGCAUCUGGAAGAGCAGGAGGUGAUAUGGGGCAACCAGCAUGGCUUCACCAAGGGGAGGUUCUGCCUGACCAACUUCAUUGCUUUUUAUGACGGUGUAAGUGUGUCUGUGGACAAGGGAAGAGCCACUGAUGUCAUUUAUUUGGACUUCAGUAAGACCUUUGCCACAGCUUCCCGUAACAUCCUUUUCUCCAAAUUGGAAAGACAUGGAUUUGAUGGGUGAACUCUUUGAUGGACAAGAAUCUGGUUUUGAGAUUAAGAGAUGAGGCUCCUAGGACCAGCUACAUGCACUCUGUCUGGGGCAGCUUCACAAGCUAUUGUGAAACUGCUUUUCUAUGUGUUUUCUCAUUUCCAAACCAAGAAACAAGGUAAAAGCAUUGAAUAUGAUCUUGGACAAGAAAGGUUCUCUGUAGCACUGCACUGGUGAAAAUUGAUAGCAAUGGAGCUGUGUCAUCACUGGGAUUACUUUUGCCCUGAACAGUCCUUCGCAAAUGAAAAAUAAAGCAAAGAAAUGUUCUUAUUUUUUAUCUCUGCUUCUGCAUAAAUGUAGUUUACAUACCACUAUACUGCAUUUAUUAAUAUUGAAGGCAUUUGCAGUGUUGACCAGUUCUCCUCUGCUUAUAUAAACUGUGACAACAAAGCAUGUGGACUAGCUAAAACUUUCUCACUACCUAUCACUGUGGAUAGGAAAACCUGUCAUGCAGGCCUUUAAGCAAAUCCCUCAAAGACUUAAUCAUGCACAACAUCAGAGGUUCUUGUUGCAUGUGUGUCUAUACCAACCAGGGACUUAAAGGAAACAACAAUCCAUGAGAUAUGUAUCAUUUGCUACAAAUUAUGCAACCGUGCCAAAUGCUUGAAUACCUCUGAAGCACAUCGCGUUAUGCCAAGGACUCCCCACCUAUCUGAGCCCUGUAGAUCUCAAGAGUAAUUGAAUUUGUUGAUGCAGUUAUAGAGUACAGAAUUCUUCCAUUUAUGUGGCUAGCAACAGACUCACAGUUCUCUUAGUAUUGGAUGUACUUAAACUGCAGCCUUCUUGUCCUCACUUGGUUAUGGCCACACUGCCUCUUUUGCUGAGUAUGGCAAGAACUAAUUAAUUUAAGAAUUAAUGCAAGAGUAUGUCUUAUAAAGAUGUCCCUCUAUAUGUAAUACACAGCAUUUCUACCACAACAGAUGUUUUGUCAAAGGUUUCAAAAUGCAUAUGUAUCUCCAUUUUACACGCAGUCUUCAGAAAGACAUCUGCACACCUAUGUGGUUUCCAGGAUUAACUUGCUUUAGCGUUCCUACCUUCUGUAGGAACAACUGAGGGAUUAUCAUAAGCAUUAUGGUUUCUGGUCACUUCUGGAUCUUUAACCCAAAUAACGUAUUUCUGAGUUGGUUAUGGGUAGCCUUCACCACAAAUUAAAAGCAGCUCUGGUAUUUAUGUAUCCUGAUGGAUGGCAAAAUGUCCAUCCAUCUCUUAUUCUGUAAUACAUAUCGUCUCCAUACAAAGAUGAUCUUCCUCGAGUGGCUAGUGUCUAACAUCAUUAGCACCUAUAGCUUCGGAUAUGAAAACUAAAAUACUUCAGUGUGCAAUACCACAGUCUCACUUCCUGUAAAUGUAAAAUAACCCUCAUAUGAAAUCUGCCAAAUUGCUCUUGAUCACUGUUGUCCCUGUCUCCCAUUCUACCAUUUAGUGCAGAUUUAUACCUAUCCAAUGUGGCAACUCCUGCAUGGCCUAAUGAAUAGAACACAGCUUUAUUUUAAUGGCAAGUACAAGAUAGAAAAAAAAUGAUGGAAUGAUUUUCCUGGCUCAUUUUCAUUAUGCUUCAGCUUUGGACUGAACUUUAAAAGGUAAAUCACCCAACUCUUGACUACACAAGCAUUUAAAUAACUACAGAGAUUCUUAGCAUUUUUUACCUUUGGUGACUGUGGAUUCAUGUUGACUUUAAACUGACUUAAGGGUAUUAGAAAAGAAAUUUUCAGGCAAAGAUAAUACUCUGUUGUGGAAUGGAUAUUGAGCAAUUAGGGAAAGAAGAAUAUUUUAUCAUUCUUGUCACAGAGGCUAUUUCUUGGGCAAUGGCUACCUGCUCCUUUUUAUCUUUCCCACCCAUGCCAUAUUGCAGCAAAUGUGGCCGCAGGUGCCUACACUGGAUGAACACCUGCCCAAUCUGCGCAAGAAGGAAAGGAAAUCAAGGGAUGUCAUGCUCACUAGUUUUGUGUACUCAACUCAGGAGAGUGACAGAAAGGAGAAAUGAGAAGACAGUUAAAUUUAGCAUGAUUAAGAAGAGAGAGUAGAAGAAAAUGGCUGUGACCUUCAGAAGCAGCUUUUGCAGGAGAUGGAGAGCAGGUAAGUCUAAACACACUUUUUUCAAAGGCAGAACACCACUUUCUGUGUCUGUCAGCCUUUCUAUAACAAUGCAUCUACUACAGUGAGCUGACAGAAACCUUACAAAGUUCAACAGAGUCCUGCACCUAGGGAGAAACAAGCACAGGCACCAGGACAUGCUGGGGCCACCCAGCUGAAAAGCAGCUCUGCAGCAGAGGACAUGGGGACAGAGUGGUGGGGACACCACUCUGGACAUGAGUAAGCAGCGUGCCCUUGCUGCUAAGAAGGCCAAUGGUAUCCUGAGCUGCAUUAGGCAAAGAAUUGCCAACAGGUCAAGAGAGGUGAUCCUUCCCCUAUACACAGCCCCAGUAAGGCUGGAGCAAUGUGUCCAGCUCUGGGUCUCCAGUAUGGGAGAGACACGGAUGUAAUGGAAAGGGUCCAAAGAGGCAUAACCAAGAUGGUCUGGGACUGGAGCACCUCUCCAGUGAGGAGAAUCUCAUCAGUGUCUGUAAAUACCCAAACAGAAGAUGCAAAGAAGAUGGAGCCAGGCUCUUCUCAGUGCUGCUCAGUGUCAGUACAAGAGACAAACUGUAACACAGAGGCUCCCUCUGAACACCAGGAAGCAGUUCUGCACUGUCGGGUGAUGGAGCACCAUCAUGGGCUGCCCAAAGGCUGUGGGUUCUCCUCCUUGGGGAUCUCCAGAAGCCACCUGGUUGUGGGCCCAGGCAGCCUGUAAAUCUGUGUAGUGGCUUUUUACACCAGUUUGCAGGUAAAAUUUUGUCCUUUCUCAUUCCAUGUUGCAAAACAACAAAUAAAAUAUGUUUUGUGUGAAACUACAUAAGCUCAUUCUUUUACCCUCAGAGAUAGAUCCUUUAUAUAGUUCCAUAGAAUAUUUAUCCCUGCUUUCUUGCCUUAACUACCUUAUAAUUUCUGCAAUUAUUUUUGUAACAUUACUAUAUAAAAAGCUUUACAGAAUUCAAUAAAUUCCCUG
rnacentral:lncRNA from 1 species